rnacentral:rRNA from 1 species
GACGAACGCUGGCGGCGUGCUUAACACAUGCAAGUCGAACGAUGAAGCCGGAGCUUGCUCUGGUGAAUUAGUGGCGAACGGGUGAGUAACACGUGAGUAACCUGCCCUUGACUCUGGGAUAACUGCUAGAAAUGGUAGCUAAUACCGGAUACGACCCUCGGAGGCAUCUCCAGGGGGUGGAAAGAAUUUCGGUCAAGGAUGGACUCGCGGCCUAUCAGCUAGUUGGUGAGGUAACGGCUCACCAAGGCGACGACGGGUAGCCGGCCUGAGAGGGUGACCGGCCACACUGGGACUGAGACACGGCCCAGACUCCUACGGGAGGCAGCAGUGGGGAAUAUUGCACAAUGGGCGCAAGCCUGAUGCAGCAACGCCGCGUGAGGGAUGACGGCCUUCGGGUUGUAAACCUCUUUUAGUAGGGAAGAAGCGAAAGUGACGGUACCUGCAGAAAAAGCACCGGCUAACUACGUGCCAGCCGCCGCCGUAA